UACGGAGGGUGCGAGCGUUGUCCGGAAUCACUGGGCGUAAAGGGCGCGUAGGCGGCCUGAUAAGUAGGGGGUGAAAUCCUGCGGCUUAACCGCAGGGCUGCCUUCUAAACUGUCAGGCUCGAGCACAGUAGAGGCAGGUGGAAUUCCCGGUGUAGCGGUGGAAUGCGCAGAUAUCAGGAGGAACACCGAUGGCGAAGGCAGGUCUCUGGGCCGAUACUGACGCUGAGGAGCGAAAGCGUGGGGAGCGAACAGG
rnacentral:rRNA from 1 species